rnacentral:rRNA from 1 species
CCUACGGGGGGCAGCAGUGAGGAAUAUUGGUCAAUGGUCGGGAGACUGAACCAGCCAAGCCGCGUGAGGGAGGAAGGUACAGAGUAUCGUAAACCUCUUUUGUCAGGGAACAAAGACUGGGACGCGUCCCCGGAUGAGUGUACCUGAAGAAAAAGCAUCGGCUAACUACGUGCCAGCAGCCGCGGUAAUACGGAGGGUGGGAGCGUUAUCCGGAUUUGUUGGGUUUAAAGGGUGCGCAGGCGGUCUGUUAAGUCAGCGGUCAAAGCCCGGGGCUUAACCCCCGGACGGCCGUGGAAACUGGCAGUCUCGAGUGGGAGAGAGGUAUGCGGAAUGCGCGGUGUAGCGGUGAAAUGCAUAGAUAUUGGGCAGAACUCCGGUUGCGAAGGCAGCAUGCCGGCUCCACACUGACGCUGAGGCACGAAAGCGUGGGUAUCGAACAGGAUUAGAUACCCGAGUAGUC